rnacentral:lncRNA from 1 species
CUCUCCUUUUCCCCUUGCCUUUCCUCCCCCUUCCUCUCCCCCUUCCUCUCUCCCUUCCCUUCCAUGAGACCCUCCCCAACCCAUCUCUGCAUCUCCCAGCUCCUCCCACUCCUGCUCCUCCCUCGCCCUGCCCCCCUCCACCUAUCCCAACUCCACUCAUCCGCAGCCCAAACACUGAUCUGUUUUAGUUUGCAUUUUCUAGAGUCGUCCAUAAAUGGAAUCAUCCCAUAUGUACUUGAUUUUGUCUGGCUUCUUUCACUCAACAUAGUUACUUUGACAUGCCUGCGUGUUUUUGCAUGGAACAAUCAUUCAUUGCUUCCUGAGCAGUAUUCCAUUUAUGGAUAUACCACCGUGUGUUUAGUCAGCACUUGAUUUAGCCUGCUUUCAAUUUUUCCUGAUUAGAACUACAGCUGCUAGGAACAUCCCUGUGCAAAUCUUUGUACAGACAUAUACGGUUUUUCCUCUCUGGGGUAAAUACCUGGAAGUGGAAUGCCCAGGUCGUAAGUCAUGAUGGCUGGAGCACUGGCAAUCUUCUGGUAUACAUGAAGAUGAGACCCACAUCUUGAUUUUAAAGAAGUAGAAGACAUGAAGGAGCCCAGGAUUCUGAAGACAGUGUGGAGUCAAUAUGCUAGUCUUGGAUUGCCUGCCUUCAGAUUUCC